rnacentral:misc_RNA from 1 species
GCAAACUUGGUCAUUUAGAGGAAGUAAAAGUCGUAACAAGGUUUCCGUAGGUGAACCUGCGGAAGGAUCAUUACUGAGGUUACCGGGGGUGGGUUGCAGUUGGGUUUGCUGCUGGCGCCUUUGAGCGUAUGUGCACGGCCCUCUCGCUCGCCUUCGUUCCUUCUAUCAACCCCUGUGCACUAUAUUCGGAUGAGAGAGAAGCGCGUGGCCGCGUAUGGGAUUAACCUAGUAGUUGUGGGUCCGCCUGUAGCGAAAGGCUAAUCUUUGAUCGGCGUCGCGUGGUACCUUGAAGUCCUUCUUUAUAAACCACUAUAUACGUCUUGUCAGAAUGUUCAGUCCCUCGUUGGACGCUAAAUACAAUACAACUUUCAACAACGGAUCUCUUGGCUCUCGCAUCGAUGAAGAACGCAGC